AGAGUGAACGCUGGCGGCAGGCCUAACACAUGCAAGUCGAACGGCAGCACGAGAGAGCUUGCUCUCUUGGUGGCGAGUGGCGGACGGGUGAGGAAUACGUCGGAAUCUGCCUUUUUGUGGGGGAUAACGUAGGGAAACUUACGCUAAUACCGCAUACGACCUACGGGUGAAAGCGGAGGACCUUCGGGCUUCGCGCAGAAAGAUGAGCCGACGUCGGAUUAGCUAGUUGGAGGGGUAAUGGCCCACCAAGGCGACGAUCCGUAGCUGGUCUGAGAGGAUGAUCAGCCACACUGGGACUGACGACACGGCCCAGACCU
rnacentral:rRNA from 1 species